rnacentral:rRNA from 1 species
CCUACGGGCGGCUGCAGUGGGGAAUAUUGGACAAUGGGGGGAACCCUGAUCCAGCCAUGCCGCGUGUGUGAAGAAGGCCCUCGGGUUGUAAAGCACUUUCAGUGAGGAAGAACGCCUGGUGGUUAAUACCCAUCAGGAAAGACAUUACUCACAGAAGAAGCACCGGCUAACUCCGUGCCAGCAGCCGCGGUAAUACGGAGGGUGCGAGCGUUAAUCGGAAUUACUGGGCGUAAAGCGCGCGUAGGUGGCUUGAUAAGCCGGUUGUGAAAGCCCCGGGCUCAACCUGGGAACGGCAUCCGGAACUGUCAAGCUAGAGUGCAGGAGAGGAAGGUAGAAUUCCCGGUGUAGCGGUGAAAUGCGUAGAGAUCGGGAGGAAUACCAGUGGCGAAGGCGGCCUUCUGGACUGACACUGACACUGAGGUGCGAAAGCGUGGGUAGCAAACAGGAUUAGAUACCCUAGUAGUC